rnacentral:rRNA from 1 species
GACGAACGCUGGCGGCGUGCUUAACACAUGCAAGUCGAACGGAAAGGCCCUGCUUUUGUGGGGUGCUCGAGUGGCGAACGGGUGAGUAACACGUGAGUAACCUGCCCUUGACUUUUGGAUAACUUCAGGAAACUGGGGCUAAUACCGGAUAGGAGCUCCUGCUGCAUGGUGGGGGUUGGAAAGUUUCGGCGGUUGGGGAUAGACUCGCGGCUUAUCAGCUUGUUGGUGGGGUAGUGGCUUACCAAGGCUUUGACGGGUAGCCGGCCUGAGAGGGUGACCGGCCACAUUGGGACUGAGAUACGGCCCAGACUCCUACGGGAGGCAGCAGUGGGGAAUAUUGCACAGUGGGCGGAAGCCUGAUGCAGCAACGCCGCGUGCGGGAUGACGGCCUUCGGGUUGUAAACCGCUUUCGCCUGUGACGAAGCGUGAGUGACGGUAAUGGGUAAAGAAGCACCGGCUAACUACGUG